AUAAUUAAUUUCUGCUCACAAUAAGAGACUUUUUUUCUAAGGUCAAUGUUAUCAUUAGAGUUUAAUUAUUAUUAGAAAUUAUUUCGAUCACAAUUAUCGGGUAACGAUCGACAAUCUAAUCAAUGUCAUUGUCGCAUUGACAAUUUCUUUCUCUUUCUGUGUCUCCCUUCAAUCAUCUGUUUUAUUGUUUUUUUUUUCAUAUUCUUCACUUUGAUUCAGUUUCAUUUUCUAUUCCCUGUUAAUUGUUAUUCAAUGGUUUCAUUGUUCUAAUUGUGAUUCUGUUUAUUGUCCAACUUAUCAAAGGUGAUUUGCCAGAAAAGAAAAUUGUUAAAACCAGGAAACGUUAUAUAAGUGAUCAACUUUAAUUGUGCUUUUUGCUGUUUUUCUAUUUGUUAUAUCAUUUCAAUGUUAUUCCAUUUUUGUUUUGGCUUCUCCCUCUCACUAUAAUCUCUUACUUAAUCUAACAUACACACUUUCACUUGGACCCGCUAAUUAUUUUCAAUGAUUAACCGUGGUUACAAUUUUCUAUUUUCAAUUUGCUCAUUAAUUACUGAGUUGCCCUGAUGAAUAUGUUACAUGUUUUAUGUGUAUUUGUCUGUUCCUUGGUGAAUGAAAAUGAUGAAAGGAGCAACCAUGUUUCAAGAAUUUACUGGAAAUAAUUGUAACUAAUUACGUUGGAUUAGUUUAGGUUUGGUUUUAGGGGAAAAACUAAAUUCAGGACCGAAAGUCAGCCUUGAUCAACUUUAGGUCAAUUAAGAAUAAUUUCCGAUUGUUGGUAUUAAUAAUUAUCUUCAUGAUCAAGUAAAAAAAGACAAAAUUUUUCCUUUCAAUAUAAAUGAUAAUUCUGGGGGCCAGAAUUGUUUCUU